UACGUAGGUGGCAAGCGUUGUCCGGAAUUAUUGGGCGUAAAGCGCGCGCAGGCGGUUCUUUAAGUCUGAUGUGAAAGCCCACGGCUCAACCGUGGAGGGUCAUUGGAAACUGGAGAACUUGAGUACAGAAGAGGAAAGCGGAAUUCCACGUGUAGCGGUGAAAUGCGUAGAGAUGUGGAGGAACACCAGUGGCGAAGGCGGCUUCUGGUCUGUAACUGACGCUGGAGGCGCGAAAGCGUGGGGAGCAAACAGG
rnacentral:rRNA from 1 species